GGCCUAACACAUGCAAGUCGAACGAGAUCCAUGCAGUGGCAACACUGCGGAAGAUCUAGUGGCGAACGGGUGAGUAACACGUGAGGAACUUGCCCCGGAGACCGGGAUAACUCUCCGAAAGGAGAGCUAAUACCGGAUACCUCCACCUGAUCGCAUGGUCGGGUGAAGAAAUGGAUUCCGCUCCGGGAGAGCCUCGCGGCCUAUCAGCUAGUUGGUGGGGUAACGGCCCACCAAGGCAUCGACGGGUAGCUGGUCUGAGAGGACGAUCAGCCACACUGGGACUGAGACACGGCCCAGACUCCUACGGGAGGCAGCAGUGGGGAAUCUUGCGCAAUGGGCGAAAGCCUGACGCAGCAACGCCGCGUGCGGGAUGAAGGCCCUCGGGUUGUAAACCGCUUUCAGUGGGGACGAAUCAAGACGGUACCCACAGAAGAAGCCCCGGCCAACUACGUGCCAGCAGCCGCGGUAACACGUAGGGGGCAAGCGUUGUCCGGAUUUAUUGGGCGUAAAGAGCUCGUAGGUGGUUCGAUAAGUCGGGUGUGAAACCUCCAGGCUCAACCUGGAGACGCCACCCGAUACUGUCGUGACUAGAGUCCAGUAGGGGAGCGUGGAAUUCCUGGUGUAGCGGUGAAAUGCGCAGAUAUCAGGAGGAACACCAGCGGCGAAGGCGGCGCUCUGGGCUGGCACUGACACUGAGGAGCGAAAGCGUGGGGAGCGAACAGGAUUAGAUACCCUGGUAGUCCACGCCGUAAACGUUGGGUACUAGGUGUGGGGUCUUAUCAACGGAUUCCGUGCCGAAGCUAACGCAUUAAGUACCCCGCCUGGGGAGUACGGCCGCAAGGCUAAAACUCAAAGGAAUUGACGGGGGGCCCGCACAAGCA
rnacentral:rRNA from 1 species